GAGAAGAAGGAGAGGAAAAAAGAAGAAAGAAGAAAGAAGAAAGAAGAAUAAAGAAUAAGAAGCAAAGAAGAGAAGAGGAGAAGAGGAGAAGAGGAGAAGAGAAGAGAAGAAGAUUGGAGAAGAAUUUGACUUAUUUGGAAGGCUGCUGCAGAAUCCAGCAAAGAGGUUUUGAAGUUGAAGCAAAGAAGAUCUGGAGAUUGGUCGCUGAUGAAGUCAUGGACAAGGAGUGAUUAUAGACAAGGACUUUGAUACAUUGUGUAUUAUAGAGUAAAUUAAAUGUAAGUGGUCUUGUGAAUUUUGUUGUAACCUGUGAAGGUAAUAAAUGGGCCUAUAAUAUUAUAAAAUUAUCAUUGUAACUGAUCACCACAUGUAUAUCAUAACCUUUAUGGAAUUUUACAUAUACUUUGAUUUU